rnacentral:rRNA from 1 species
GACGAACGCUGGCGGCGUGCUUAACACAUGCAAGUCGAACGGACAGGCCCUGCUUUUGUGGGGUGCUCGAGUGGCGAACGGGUGAGUAACACGUGAGUAACCUGCCCUUGACUUUGGGAUAACUUCAGGAAAAUGGGGCUCAUACCGGAUAGGAGAUCCUGCAGCAUGGUGGGGGAUGGAAAGUUUCGGCGGUUGGGGCUGGUCUCGCGGCUUAUCAGCUUGUUGGUGGGGUAGUGGAUUACCAAGGCUUUGACGGGUAGCCGGCCUGAGAGGGUGACCGGCCACAUUGGGACUGCGAUACGGCCCAGACUCCUACGGGAGGCAGCAGUGGGGAAUAUUGCGCAAUGGGCGGAAGCCUGAUGCAGCAAUGCCGCGUGCGGGAUGACGGCCUUCGGGGUGUAAACCGCUGUCGCCUGUGACGAAGCGUGAGUGACGGUAAUGGGUAAAGAAGCACCGGCUAACUACGUG